AAAGGCCUGACUUAUGUGGUCUCUGAUGUGCUGCCCCGGCCUGCCUGAGGAAGAGGGAUUUGUGUCCGGGCUGCUGGGAGACCUGCCUUGCCUGUGAUCUCGCCAUCACAAAGUAGUAGGCAUCUAGUAACUAAUGGAUGUCUCUGGACACAUCACGAUGUCUACAGGCUGUCGUCGGGGGAGCCUAUCCAGCUCUUGGGAAUGAAGAGCUGAGCGAAGAGCAGUGAUUACUCACUCCGUUCCCCAAUGCUUGAAGCUGGACAGACUCGCCCGCACACCACGCUUGGACGGGCUCUCAGAAGCAAGCUGCACACGCUAUGGGUGGAAGUAGCUGCAUAUUUUAAACAAUAUCCACUAGUAAUAUUUAAAUAAUGUGCUCCUUUCUUCCCCCUGAAAGUCUGCUCACACUCACUCUAGUCUUCUGGGUUGAACUCUUAGCAAUAUAGCCAUAUACUCGGAAUGAAUGCUCUCGGGCUCUGCUCUUGACAGUUUGAGCCUCGGCACUGCUAUGGUUUUCAUUUGUCUGCUGCUCUAGUCUUGGGGACACACACACACACACACACACAUACACCCCAUCUCACUUUAACACA